GCCGAGCUGGCCUGGAUUCCCACCAUGGCCUGGACCCCGCUCUUCCUCGCACUGGUCACCUAUUUCUCUGGUUCCCUUGCCCAGUACGUGGUGACACAGCCGCCUUCAGUGUCUGUGUCUCCAGGACAAACUGCUCGUCUCACCUGCUCUGGGAACAACAUUGGUAGCAAGAGUGUGCACUGGUACCAGCAGAAACCUGGCAGUGCCCCUCUACUCAUUAUAUAUGGUGAUAGCAAGAGACCCUCCGGCAUCCCUGACCGAUUCUCUGGUGCCAACUCCGGCAACACGGCCACAUUGACCAUCACUGGAGUUCAAGCCCAGGAUGAAGCUGAUUAUUAUUGUGUGGCAGCAGGCUCCAGGUCACAGUCUCUGCUGACUCAGCCACCCUCCAUGUCGGUGCACCCAGGAAACACCGUGAACCUCGACUGCUGUAUCCACAGUGGGAGCAGCAGCAGUGGCUACAGAGUGUACUGGUACCAGCAGAAACCUAGCUCUCCCCCGCGGUACCUCCUGAGACACACAUCGGAUUCAGACAAGCACCGGGCCCACGGGCUCCCCGCUCGCUUCUCCAGAUCCAAGGAGCUGUCCAGGAACACCUGCUCUCUAAACAUCUCAGGGGUCCUCACAGAGGACAAGACUGUUAUUACUGUGGCAUGUGAUUACCAGUUACAAGGGCCCUGA